rnacentral:tRNA from 1 species
AAAGAAUUAAUUUAAAAAAAAUAUUAAUAUGUCAUAUUAAAAUUGUUUACAAAAAUUAACAUUCUUUU